rnacentral:lncRNA from 1 species
AAAUAAGUAUGAAAAGUUUUAAAAAUAUAUUUGAAGUAUAGAGGGGUAAAAUGGUACUUGUACUAUACUUAAAAAGUAAAGAAGGUUAUUUUUUAAAGACAUUUCUUAUAAAGGUCAAAUAUCUAAAGCCACCCAUAUUUGGGUCUGUCGCAUGCAAUUUCCUGGUAUAUCACAGUUUUGCCUUGCUGCAUUUUUCUGUAUAUUCGCUAUAUAUCAAUGUAUAAAACUCCGUAUACUUGCUCCCAACUUUUCGCUAUAUAUCAAUGUAUAAAACUCCGUAUACUUGCUCCCAACUUUACCAUACGUCAUCCCUUGGCUUAUAUCAGCUGCCUUUGACUUGUAACUCUCGUAUAUAUGGCGUAUACCAGUGUAUAUCAGCGCCUUUGGACUUGGAUGGGGCUCGACUCGAAGGAAAUACAAAAGGGAGUCCAUUUAGACUCAAAUGAGUUCAUGCAUAAAAGAGACAAAGAUAAAGAUUAGCUAUUCAAGUUUCGACAAAGAAAAGAUAUGGUCAAACGUGAUAUGUAUAAACUCAUAGUUAGUAAACAAAUAUGGUGUUAAAACAAUCAUAAAGCUUGAAACAUUCAUUAUUUUAAUCUAGCAAAGGUGAAGAAAGAAAGAUUUCAUUAAGAUGAUACAGUGAGGCUACCAGACUAAUGUUUAGCAUUUGGACAAUGCAUAUUUGAUGACAAAACCUGUUACUUUUAUUUCAAAUAUCUCUUGACCAUAUAAUCAAACACAAGCAAAUAUCCCACAAGUUUGAAGGCAAAUAAUCCAAAGAAAGGAAAAGGCACGGACAAGUGAGUUUUAACUAGAUAUCAACCAUAUUGAAGCUCACGAACUAUUUGGUUACAAGCUUGAAUUAAAUCCAAGACUCUUUUUGAUUAAGAAAAACAAAGGAGUAACGGGAUAGGAUAGCAUUGUAUAAGUAUUUUAGGGGGAAAGGAAAUGAAAUAGAGCAAAAACGGGAACAAAUAAAAAUAAAUAAAACCAUAAGACAUUUUGAUGCCUACAAAGACAUUUUUUCUCAUGCUACACUUAUCCAUAGCCAAAAUAGCCUCGCUAAACGGUCAAAUAAGAUAGUGAAAGAGCAGAGCACAUAACAAUUUAACAAUCUAAAGUCUCAAAACAAAAGAAACCAAACACAGAGAGUGGUAUCUAAAAACAAGCUAAACUCAUACAAGGGAGUUUUUUUUUAAACAGAGAAACCAACAACUUUCUUUUUCAAAUCCAAUAAAUGGCCAGAAACGUAAUUUCUUAGUAAAUAAAAUAAAACAAGGUAGCCACCUUCUAGUGCCCCGACACAGAAGCAAACAACCUUACAAAUUCAUCGUCAUACAAUUCAUAGUCAACCAUAUCCAAUAUAUGGCAGCAACUAUGACUUUCUGAAAUUAAAUAAGAGUAAGCACCCUUAUUACACUCUCAAUCAUUCAACAACAACAGCAUACCCAGUGUAUUCCCACAUAGUGGGGUCUGGAGAGGGUAGAGUGUACGUAGAACAUACCACUACCUCAGGUGAAGUAGAGAGGUUGUUUCCGAUAGAACCCCGACUUUGGACCAAUAGCAGUAUAACAAACACAAAACAUAAAUGUAUAUAAACUAGUACAGUAUGCAAAAUAAACUAACACCGCUAGCCACAAGAUAAUAUACUAUAGCCAUGAACUAAUACUAAAAACUAUCUAUCUGAAACCAUAGACAUCACUCAACACCACGAACAAGUAACUUCAUACACAAAUAAAGAACACUCCCCUACUGUUACCAACGCACUCCCUAUCCCCUAACCCUCUACCCUAAUCCGCAUCCCCACAACUUCCUAUCACUCUGUAAGCUGUAACUGCUUCAUAUCAUGCCUAAUCACCUCCCUCUAAUUUUUCUUUGGCCUAACUCUACCCUGCCUAAAACCAUCCAUAGCCAGUGUCUCACACCUCCGCACUAGAGAAUCAGUGCCUCUCCUUAUCACGUACCCUAACCAACGUAACCUCACUUCUCGCAUCUUAUCCUCUAUCGAAGUACUCCCACCUUCUUCCGAAUAACCUCAUUUUUCACCCUAUCUUUCCUGAUAUGGCCACACAUCAAUUACAAUAUCCUCAUCUCCAUCACCUUCAACUUUUGGAUGUGUACACUCCCAAUCAUUCAAACAUAUUAAAAUGGGAAAUCAAGAAAAGAAAAGCUACACCUUGGAUAUGGACAAAUAUUACGGCUUGUAAUUACUAUUUUCACAAUGACAAGAUUAUAAAAACACCAUACCCAUACCCACUGUUAUUUCAAUACAUGGACAAGAGAAAAAAAAUUCAAAAAGAGGGGCGGUGUUUACGCAAGCGCAGAACUUAAUUUAAAGUAAACCAAAUAUGUAGACACACACAACUGAACUUGAACUACUCUUCCUUUUCGUCAACAUGAUAUAAAGAUCAAAGAUGGACACCAUAUAUAACUUCCAACAAGGCCGGAGCAUAUAAAAAAUCUCAUAUCAACGACAUUCGUGACAACAGUAAUAUUUACAUCUUUUUUUUUUUACACACAAACACAGAAAAAAUGAAAAAAUUCAAUAGAGAUGAAGUGUUCACCUUUUUUGGAGCAGCGAACUUAGGACAACGAGACUUGACUACGAACUUCCACCACAAAAGUUUAAAUUUAAACUUGUCGGAAUUCAAUCUUUCGGCGAAAUUGAUUUUUCCGAGUGUGUUCUUUGAGAAUAUUGUUGCCUGAGGUUACACGCAUGCACCUCCAAAACCCUGAAAUUUUUCCCCAAAGUCCUCCUCCUUCACCCCUAUCCCUCACUAUCUAUUUAUAGGAGAAUUUGGGGGGAAAAGAAUUAGGGUUUUGGAUUUAAAUCCGAAUUUUAAAUUGAUUUUCUUGGAGAAUUUCAAACCCACAGACAGAGAGGGCAUGUAUUUGUUGGCUUCUUGCCAAAAGGGAGGUGAACAUGAGUUGAGCAAGAAAAAGUCGAUGAAACUUUAGCCAAAAUUGGUUUUACGACGGGGUAAAAGAGUAAAAUUGAUGGCAAUGGCUAGGUUGACUAGGGUUUAUGGAUUUGACGAUGUUGUCAUUGAAGCUAUUAUUGUCGAAUUGGGGUCUGAUUUUUGUUGUUGUUGCUUGGACGGCGUUGUCGUUGUUGACGUUGUUGCUGGCUGUUUGUUAUUAACGGUGGUGUUAAGGGUUAUACACCAUUGUUGUUGGGUUGUUGUUGUUACUAUUAAGGGAGAAGAGGCUUGGCUCGGGUCGGGUCGGGUCGGGUCGGCGGCUGGUGUGGGCUGCUGGGGGUAAGCUGUUAUCGUUGGGCCGGUUGGGUGCAGAAUUGGGCUGGGAUGGUUGAUUUUGGACUGGGUUAAAAUUAAAAGAGAU